rnacentral:rRNA from 1 species
AUUGAACGCUGGCGGCAUGCCUAACACAUGCAAGUCGAACGAAGCCUUCGGGCUUAGUGGCGCACGGGUGCGUAACGCGUGGGAAUCUGCCCCUUGCUUCGGAAUAACAGUUAGAAAUGACUGCUAAUACCGGAUGAUGUCUUCGGACCAAAGAUUUAUCGGCAAGGGAUGAGCCCGCGUAGGAUUAGGUAGUUGGUGGGGUAAAGGCCUACCAAGCCGACGAUCCUUAGCUGGUCUGAGAGGAUGAUCAGCCACACUGGGACUGAGACACGGCCCAGACUCCUCCGGGGGGCAGCAGUGGGGAAUAUUGGACAAUGGACGCAAGUCUGAUCCAGCAAUGCCGCGUGAGUGAUGAAGGCCUUAGGGUUGUAAAGCUCUUUUACCAGGGAUGAUAAUGACAGUACCUGGAGAAUAAGCUCCGGCUAACUCCGUGCCAGCCGCCGCAGUAAAAC